CUUGAAAGAGAAUGAAACGUUUACGCCCAUACAUUUAAUAAAUGAGAAGCAACAUACCGUGUCGGAACUAUAUACUUGCACAUUUAAUAUACGCAAUUUAAGAAAAAUUUGUGUUUUAUAAAAGUAGUGCUAUAAAAAUAAAAAUGCCUGGAUAUAAAUGGGUUAGAUAUACGGGUACUCGUUACUUCGUACCUGGAAUGAUCUCAGUUGGCAAGGACUUGGAUGGUAUGAUACUUGUUGUUGGACGUGCUUAUCAUAAUGGCGAUAUGCUUCCUGCUAAAGUGAAGCCAGAACAUGGUGUCGCUUAUGUCGCUUAUGGCGGAAAAGAGCAUAUGAAGCAUGAAUUUGAGAUAUUGAUGCCCGCCGAUUUUCAAUGGAUUCCAUCGAGUAAUGGUCAUGUUCCGCCAGAUGCGGUAGAAGCUGGAAGAACAGUAGAAGGAGAAAUACUUUUUGUUGGUCGUGCAUAUCAAAAUGGUGUACCAUGUGUAGGAAAGGUUCCUUUUCAUAGGGUUUUCCAGUGACUAAAAGCUACGUAUGGACAGCUUUUUUUCCACUAUAUUAUAGGAAUAGGGCGGUUCUUAUGACUGCUCAGCACACAGGCCCCACGCCAUCUGCUAUUACAGACUACACAUGCACAGGCGCCUCUAACAAGACCCCAAGAUCCGUAAUGGUUUUGCACAAUAUCGGGUGUAUCAAAGUUUCGAGAUUUAAGUGUAAUUAAUUUUAUAUUGUUUUUAA